UACGUAGGGUGCGAGCGUUGUCCGGAUUUAUUGGGCGUAAAGAGCUCGUAGGCGGUUCGUCACGUCGGGAGUGAAAACUCGGAGCUUAACUCCGAGCCUGCUUCCGAUACGGGCAGACUAGAGGUAGGCAGGGGAGAGCGGAACUCCUGGUGUAGCGGUGGAAUGCGCAGAUAUCAGGAAGAACACCCGGUGGCGGAAGGCGGCUCUCUGGGCCUUACCUGACGCUGAGGAGCGAAAGCGUGGGUAGCGAACAGG
rnacentral:rRNA from 1 species